GUGGGGAAUAUUGGACAAUGGGCGAAAGCCUGAUCCAGCCAUGCCGCGUGUGUGAAGAAGGUCUUCGGAUUGUAAAGCACUUUAAGUUGGGAGGAAGGGCAGUAAGUUAAUACCUUGCUGUUUUGACGUUACCAACAGAAUAAGCACCGGCUAACUCCGUGCCAGCAGCCGCGGUAAUACGAAGGGUGCAAGCGUUAAUCGGAAUUACUGGGCGUAAAGCGCGCGUAGGUGGUUUUGUAAGUUGGAGGUGAAAUCCCCGGGCUCAACCUGGGAACUGCCUCCAAAACUGCAUAACUUGAGUACGGUAGAGGGUAGUGGAAUUUCCUGUGUAGCGGUGAAAUGCGUAGAUAUAGGAAGGAACACCAGUGGCGAAGGCGACUACCUGGACUGAUACUGACACUGAGGUGCGAAAGCGUGGGGAGCAAACAGGAUUAGAAACCCCUGUAGUCC
rnacentral:rRNA from 1 species